GAUUAAAUGGCUGAUAAUAGGCAAUAAAUUGUAAAUUUAUUUAUGGGAAAACUUUCUCUUUAAUCA
rnacentral:tRNA from 1 species